UGACGAACAGCAGGACACCACAUACACAGGCACUGCUUUGUUUUUACCUCCGUCUGUGCUAUUGUCUCCUCAGUUACAGUGGGUCCCUCUGUUACACUUUCAGCCUCUUUAUACUCUGCUUCCCCAUACUCAUAGUCAUAUUCGAUUAUAUCCUCUGGUGCAUACUCAUCUAUCUGAGGUUCCUGAGCUUGAGCAGCCUUGGGUGCUGAAGAGUCACAGUCUGGACUAUAAUGCUCACAGUAGUCAUAUGCUGCCUUGGGAUCACCUGUGAUCAAAAACUGCUGAAUGUCCCCCUCAAAAACUUCUUCAUCCAAAAUCCUUGUUCCAAAAACCGUGAUUCCAUUGGUAUCAACAAUUGCUCUCUCACUUCUAUCAAGUGGUUUCGUGGUUUUCUUCUUACAAUCAACAAUCAUUGUCACAGUUUUCUU
rnacentral:lncRNA from 1 species